GUAUCGUGUGGAUGAAAUAUUGUCCAAAUCAGUGGCAGUCUUUCGACAUCGUUCGUUCCCGAUGUCGAGUUGAUGGAAAAUCGAAGAGCUUUGAUCGAGUGAGAACAAUCCAGUGUUACAAAAAGGUGUCAUUUUCGGAUAGCUGAGAUUACAAUUAACAAAUAUUUCACUUCUGGAUAAAUGUAGUGACAUCAAUUCAGAAACAGCAGAUUAUAGGCAAAGGAAAGCUAUUUCUGGAUCUUUCACAAAAUACAUGAUGUACAAAUAUUCUGCAAGAAACAUCAACCUGACAAAAAGGAAGUGGUGUAGAUCUGUUGGUAUAUCUGCAUAUUGUUGGUGAUACAAAAUGUGUAAUAUGAAAACAUUGAAGAAAUACUUGACAAAUGCAAAAUAUGUGAUGCAAGAAUUCAGUAUAAGUAAAAUUACCAGAUUUUCAUUUCAAAUGAAAAAGAAUUGUAGCCCACAGGAUCAGUCCUCAUCUUUAGUCAGUGGUCAGGCUUAAAAAGUAUUUUUUUCCAGAAGACACAAGUGCAAGUAAAAAAGGCACAUUUCACUUUUUCCACUUAAAUUAUGUUGGAUUAAAUUAAGAGUUAUCAAAAAGUAUGGAAAAUAAAGUUAAUUUAGCAAUGAAUGUUUAAGAGUGCCAAAAUGACAGCAAAAUGUAUCUUUUCCUUAUUUUGUCAAUAUUGAAUUUUAUGAUACUUUGGAUGAAAUGACAAUAAAACUGUCAGUGAAAGUAAAUUAAGUGAAUUUUGAUAAUAAACGGACCAAUUAAAGUGAACUAAAUGUGGUAAAGAAGACAUUAUGGAGUUAACAAGGAGAUACCAAAAGUGUAAAUGAAUGUAACAAUAAAUUACAUCUAUAUUAUUUCAUAGACUCUGUGAAAGGAUUAUAGUCAGAUCUGAAUAGGAAUCAUAAGAUUAGGACAAAUACUGAUAAAUAUAAAGUAUAUAAAAUGUCUAAUAAACUUAUAUUAUAAGUUUUAUUCUGGUGCAAGCCAGAAAUGAUAUCUAAGUGUAUCUUCCUUUUUCACUCCAGUUAUGGUUGAAACUUGCCAUAAAAAGCCAUAUGACUUCUCCAGUGUCAGCUUUAUUAUAAACCCACUAUAUCCCCCCCCCCCAAAGAUAGUAAACAGUAAAAUAACUUACUUAACAUUAAUAUAUUAAUUAUUGAUAAAAUCAAUUUUUGUACAACUGUUUUGCUGAUUUGUGUUUUGAUAUAUAUGAAAGAAUCUGGGUAUUUAUUUAAUAUUUGGUAUUCGACUGGUAUGUAAGUACCUGGCAGAAACGAAUAUAAAAGAACAUUUCGAAGAGAAGAUGUGCACCUCUUUCCAAGCUGGAAAUAUGGUAUUUCCAGGUUAUGUUUCUUUAUUACAUACUUAUAAAUAAAAUGAUGAAAAAUAUUGAUGAAAUUAAAUGCUUAUUUUCACUUUCCUUAUUUUCACUGCAAAAAAAAUAUUUUUCACUGCAGUGAAACAUAUUUUCACCGGUGUCUUGCCAGACUAAUUUCUGCUAUAUUCAGCCGAGUUUCAUAUUGUGAUGUCAAAAAAGAGAAAUGCAUAUAAUAAACAAGUAAAUUUAAGUAUUUUCUAUAAAUAGUUUGUAGUAUGAAAAUUAUCAUGUUUCACUUGUGGCAACCACCACUC